GGGCCGUUAGCUCAGUGGAUUAGAGCAUUCGCCUUCUAAGCGAAAAGUCGCGGGUUCGAUCCCCGCACGGCCCG
rnacentral:tRNA from 1 species